UGGUGCGCAAGACGCAUGCGG
rnacentral:misc_RNA from 1 species